rnacentral:rRNA from 1 species
UGGGGAAUAUUGCGCAAUGGGGGAAACCCUGACGCAGCAACGCCGCGUGAUUGAAGAAGGUCUUCGGAUUGUAAAAAUCUUUUAUCAAGGACGAAGAAGUGACGGUACUUGAUGAAUAAGCUCCGGCUAACUACGUGCCAGCAGCCGCGGUAAUACGUAGGGAGCAAGCGUUAUCCGGAUUUACUGGGUGUAAAGGGCGAGUAGGCGGAUUGGCAAGUUGGGAGUGAAAUGUCGGGGCUUAACCCCGGAACUGCUUCCAAAACUGUUGAUCUUGAGUGAUGGAGAGGCAGGCGGAAUUCCCAGUGUAGCGGUGAAAUGCGUAGAUAUUGGGAGGAACACCAGUGGCGAAGGCGGCCUGCUGGACAUUAACUGACGCUGAGGAGCGAAAGCGUGGGGAGCAAACA